GGCCGGGAACUCAAAGGAGACUGCCAGUGAUAAACUGGAGGAAGGUGGGGAUGACGUCAAGUCAUCAUGGCCCUUACGAGUAGGGCUACACACGUGCUACAAUGGCAUAUACAAAGAGAAGCGACCUCGCGAGAGCAAGCGGACCUCAUAAAGUAUGUCGUAGUCCGGAUUGGAGUCUGCAACUCGACUCCAUGAAGUCGGAAUCGCUAGUAAUCGUAGAUCAGAAUGCUACGGUGAAUACGUUCCCGGGCCUUGUACACACCGCCCGUCACACCAUGGGAGUGGGUUGCAAAAGAAGUAGGUAGCUUAACCUUCGGGAGGGCGCUUACCACUUUGUGAUUCAUGACUGGGGUGAAGUCGUAACAAGGUAACCGUAGGGGAACCUGCGGUUGGAUCACCUCCUUACCUUAAAGAA
rnacentral:rRNA from 1 species